CUGUAUUGUUUCAGAAAACCAUCCUGACUCAGAGGAGCACAGAGACUUGAGCCAUCUGUCUCUCAGCAACAUCAGCAGGGAGUCACCUGAGGGAGAAGAGGAUGAGUACUCCCUGGAUGAACGCUACCUGACUCCUUCCUUUGACUAUGAUGUGUCAGAGUGCUGCAGACCUUGCAGCCAUGAUGAGCAGGAGGGCUCCGCUCAGGAUGGAGCGGAACUGGACUCAGAGCCUUUCAUUGGAUGGAAGAACCCUUCCAAGCCAGAGGGUGAUGCUUUUGAGAACCUGGAAAGCAGCAAGGCAG